rnacentral:rRNA from 1 species
GAUGAACGCUAGCGGCGGGCCUAAUACAUGCAAGUCGAACGGUGACGAGGAGCUUGCUCCUCCGAUCAGUGGCGAACGGGUGAGUAACACGUGAGCAACCUGCCCCAGACUCUGGGAUAACAGUUGGAAACAGCUGCUAAUACCGGAUACGAGACGGAGAGGCAUCUCUACCGUCUGGAAAGUUUUUCGGUCUGGGAUGGACUCGCGGCCUAUCAGCUAGUUGGUGAGGUAAUGGCUCACCAAGGCGACGACGGGUAGCCGGCCUGAGAGGGUGACCGGCCCGAGGGGCACUGAGAUACGGGUCCCACUCCUACGGGAGGCAGCAGGCUAGAAAUUUGGGCAAUGGGGGAAACCCUGACCCAGUGACGCCGCGUGCAGGAAGGAGCCCUUCGGGGUGUAAACUGCUGUCGUGUAGGGAGAAGGGUACUAAGGUGAACAAAUCUUAGUAACUUGACGGUACUACAGGAGGAAGCCCAGGCUAACCUCGUGCCAGCAGCCGCGGUAAAGCUACGUAGACG